GGCGGCGUGCCUAACACAUGCAAGUCGAACGGAGAUUACGGACGGAAGUUUUCGGAUGGAAGUAUGUAAUUCUUAGUGGCGGACGGGUGAGUAACGCGUGGGCAACCUGCCCUAUACAGGGGGAUAGCAGCUGGAAACGGCUGGUAAGACCGCAUAAGUCGGUUAAAUCGCAUGAUUUGAUCGGGAAAUGAGCAAUCAGGUAUAGGAUGGGCCCGCGUCCGAUUAGCCAGUUGGCAGGGUAAAAGCCUACCAAAGCGACGAUCGGUAGCCGGACUGAGAGGUCGGACGGCCACAUUGGGACUGAGACACGGCCCAAACUCCUACGGGAGGCAGCAGUGGGGGAUAUUGCACAAUGGAGGAAACUCUGAUGCAGCGACGCCGCGUGAGUGAAGAAGUAUUUCGGUAUGUAAAGCUCUAUCAGCAGGGAAGAUGAUGACGGUACCUGA
rnacentral:rRNA from 1 species